AGUGAACGCUGGCGGUAGACCUAACACAUGCAAGUCGAACGGCAGCACAGUAAGAGCUUGCUCUUACGGGUGGCGAGUGGCGGACGGGUGAGGAAUACAUCGGAAUCUACUUUUUCGUGGGGGAUAACGUAGGGAAACUUACGCUAAUACCGCAUACGACCUACGGGUGAAAGCAGGGGAUCUUCGGACCUUGCGCGAUUGAAUGAGCCGAUGUCGGAUUAGCUAGUUGGCGGGGUAAAGGCCCACCAAGGCGACGAUCCGUAGCUGGUCUGAGAGGAUGAUCAGCCACACUGGAACUGAGACACGGUCCAGACUCCUACGGGAGGCAGCAGUGGGGAAUAUUGGGCAAUGGGCGCAAGCCUGAUCCAGCCAUACCGCGUGGGUGAAGAAGGCCUUCGGGUUGUAAAGCCCUUUUGUUGGGAAAGAAAAGCAGCAGGUUGAUACCCCGCUGUUCUGACGGUACCCAAAGAAUAAGCACCGGCUAACUUCGUG
rnacentral:rRNA from 1 species